CCUACGGGUGGCAGCAGUGAGGAAUAUUGGUCAAUGGGCUAGAGCCUGAACCAGCCAAGUCGCGUGAAGGAUGACGGCCCUACGGGUUGUAACCUUCUUUUGUCAGGGAGCAAUGGUGUCCACGCGUGGGCUUAGCGAGAGUACCUGAAGAAAAAGCAUCGGCUAACUCCGUGCCAGCAGCCGCGGUAAUACGGAGGAUGCGAGCGUUAUCCGGAUUGAUUGGGUUGAAAGGGUGCGUAGGCGGAAUAUCAAGUCAGCGGUAAAAGUUCGGGGCUCAACCCCGUCGGGCCGUUGAAACUGACGUUCUUGAGUGGGCGAGAAGUAUGCGGAAUGCGUGGUGUAGCGGUGAAAGGCAUAGAUAUCACGCAGAACUCCGAUUGCGAAGGCAGCAUACCGGCGCCCAACUGACGCUGAAGCACGAAAGCGUGGGUAUCGAACAGGAUUAGAUACCCGUGUAGUC
rnacentral:rRNA from 1 species